CCUACGGGUGGCUGCAGUGGGGAAUAUUGCACAAUGGGCGCAAGCCUGAUGCAGCCAUGCCGCGUGUGUGAAGAAGGCCUUCGGGUUGUAAAGCACUUUCAGCGGGGAGGAAGGCGUUAAGGUUAAUAACCUUGGCGAUUGACGUUACCCGCAGAAGAAGCACCGGCUAACUCCGUGCCAGCAGCCGCGGUAAUACGGAGGGUGCAAGCGUUAAUCGGAAUUACUGGGCGUAAAGCGCACGCAGGCGGUCCGUCAAGUCGGAUGUGAAAUCCCCGGGCUCAACCUGGGAACUGCAUUCGAAACUGGCAGGCUAGAGUCUUGUAGAGGGGGGUAGAAUUCCAGGUGUAGCGGUGAAAUGCGUAGAGAUCUGGAGGAAUACCGGUGGCGAAGGCGGCCCCCUGGACAAAGACUGACGCUCAGGUGCGAAAGCGUGGGGAGCAAACAGGAUUAGAUACCCUUGUAGUC
rnacentral:rRNA from 1 species